rnacentral:rRNA from 1 species
CGGACGGGUGAGUAACGCGUGGGUAACCUGCCUCAUACAGGGGAAUAACAGUUAGAAAUGACUGCUAAUACCGCAUAAGACCACAGCACCGCAUGGUGCAGGGGUAAAAACUCCGGUGGUAUGAGAUGGACCCGCGUCUGAUUAGCUGGUUGGUGGGGUAACGGCCUACCAAGGCGACGAUCAGUAGCCGGACUGGGAGGUUGAACGGCCACAUUGGGACUGAGACACGGCCCAG